rnacentral:rRNA from 1 species
GAUGAACGCUGGCGGCGUGCCUAAUACAUGCAAGUCGAGCGAACAGAUAAGGAGCUUGCUCCUUUGACGUUAGCGGCGGACGGGUGAGUAACACGUGGAUAACCUACCUAUAAGACUGGGAUAACUUCGGGAAACCGGAGCUAAUACCGGAUAACAUAUUGAACCGCAUGGUUCAAUAGUGAAAGGCGGCUUUGCUGUCACUUAUAGAUGGAUCCGCGCCGUAUUAGCUAGUUGGUAAGGUAACGGCUUACCAAGGCAACGAUACGUAGCCGACCUGAGAGGGUGAUCGGCCACACUGGAACUGAGACACGGUCCAGACUCCUACGGGAGGCAGCAGUAGGGAAUCUUCCGCAAAGGGCGAAAGCCUGACGGAGCAACGCCGCGUGAGUGAUGAAGGUCUUCGGAUCGUAAAACUCUGUUAUCAGGGAAGAACAAAUGUGUAAGUAACUGUGCACAGCUUGACGGUACCUGAUCAGAAAGCCACGGCUAACUACGUG